GUUAGAGAAGGGCGGAUUAAGUGCGCCACAUCCUGUGGCAACAUCCGCAUGACCCGCAUCGUGCGGG
rnacentral:sRNA from 1 species